UGAAACUAGGGAGGAAAGAGUUCAA
rnacentral:piRNA from 1 species